ACCGCGCAUGUCAUCAGCCUUCUCGCGGCGCGUGGUGAGCAACUGCAGAAAUUGCAGGCCAAUGAUGAC
rnacentral:ribozyme from 1 species